UGCCAGGACAUGAAUAGAUUACCUUAUUUCAAAUUCAGGAAAGUAUUGCACUAUUUCAGGUUUCAUUAUAUGAUCUUCCAGUACAAUAUAUGUAAUUGUAUCCAAAAUAUACCAUGAGUGACACAUUUUUCUGUUUGAUUCUAGGAUCCAAUAUGCAUCUAGUAACCAUGGUGCUUGGAAUACUGUUGGCUUGCUGUCUGGUUGUGAUUAUAAUCCUCUUUCUAACCAGAAAUAAAAAGCAAGUUUGUGAACAUUGCAAAGGAACACUGAGAGCCUCCUACCAUGUUGCACAUGACUCAGUGAUUCAGGAACAACAGGAAGGAAAAACAGAUUUGGAAACCUAUGCAGCGUUGGAGUUCUCCAGUGAAAGGACCCAGGAGAGCCUGUAUUCUACUUUGAGAGAAACCUGCCACUGAAGUCCAUCAACCAGGUCCUAUUAUAGUUUGAUCUGGUGGAUGUGUAGUACAUUUCUUUAAGGGAUAAAAACGACAAGCUCAAGUUAAGAUGAAAGAUACAAUAAAUAAUACGAUUUAGAAAACUCAAAUGGCAGGACAAGUUUACAGCGCUGGUAGGAGAUUCAGUUCCAAGUAUUUAUUUUUUAAUUGGAGAUGAUAAAGAAUAUCAGUUUGUGUAUCCAACUGUAGAUACUUUCAGUCGCUGCAGAUAAGACCUUUAGCGCCUGCAUUGUGUGCAAUUGUCAUUCAAAUCCAACAUUUUAUCAGAUCAAAUUACUUAAUUCGAAAUUUCAUAUGUUAACAUUUCAGCUUUUUUUUUUGCAUUGAAGCAUUAAGGUUUCUGAAACUUGAGUGAUUGAUUGUUGCUAGAAUGUGUAAACUAAUAUUAGUUGGAAUGGAUGAAGAACUUGCGAUCUUGUCGAUAUAAGCUCCAUGCUCUUAACACCUUGGCUAGACAAACUGCUUUUUGGGAAAUUUGCAACGCGAAAUAAAUGAAAAAAAACACUUGGAUUGUUUGGUUCUAAUUUGCAAUCAACAGAGCCUCGAACAUUGAUUUGUAGGUUUCGUAGGGUUGUAUACAAUCCCAAUGGCUGUCCAGGUGGUUGUGGCGUCUAACACGGUUGGUUUCUGAAGUAUGUGAGCAACACAUCCUGUGGAGACCUACAGUCAGGUCUAUCUAUGGUUCAGAGAUCUGGUGGUGUGUCGAAAGAUGAAGACAUAGCCAGCCACAGCCCUUGUCUCUCCACUUGGCGCCUCCCUCUCUGUUUCCUGCUCUGUACACUCUAGUGAGAGAGAUGAAAGGAAAAAACACGUCAAAGUAUGAUGUGGAAAAUAAUUCUGCAUUCAAAUCUGUUACUUAAUUUUUUA